CAACCUGCCCACCACUUGGGGAUAACCUUGCGAAAGUAAGACUAAUACCCAAUGACGUCCCUANNANACAUCUGAAAGAGAUUAAAGAUUUAUCGGUGAUGGAUGGGGAUGCGUCUGAUUAGCUUGUUGGCGGGGUAACGGCCCACCAAGGCGACGAUCAGUAGGGGUUCUGAGAGGAAGGUCCCCCACAUUGGAACUGAGACACGGUCCAAACUCCUACGGGAGGCAGCAGUGAGGAAUAUUGGUCAAUGGACGAGAGCCUGAACCAGCCAAGUAGCGUGCAGGAUGACGGCCCUAUGGGUUGUAAACUGCUUUUGUAAGGGAAUAAAGUGAGUCUCGUGAGACUUUUUGCAUGUACCUUAUGAAUAAGGACCGGCUAAUUCCGUGCCAGCAGCCGCGGUAAUACGGAAGGUCCGGGCGUUAUCCGGAUUUAUUGGGUUUAAAGGGAGCGUAGGCCGGAGAUUAAGCGUGUUGUGAAAUGUAGACGCUCAACGUCUGCACUGCAGCGCGAACUGGUUUCCUUGAGUACGCACAAAGUGGGCGGAAUUCGUGGUGUAGCGGUGAAAUGCUUAGAUAUCACGAAGAACUCCGAUUG
rnacentral:rRNA from 1 species